GUGAACGAUUAAGGGCGCGCGGUGGAUGCCUAGGCUCUCGGAGGCGAUGAAGGACGCGAUAAGCCGCGAUAGGCCACGGCGAGGUGCAAGUAACCCUUGACCCGUGGAUUUCCGAAUGGGGCAACCCGGCCGUCUAGAUGACGGUCAUGCAGUAAUGCAAGCGAACGCGGGGAACUGAAACAUCUCAUUACCCGCAGGAGAAGAAAACAACAGUGAUUCCCCCAGUAGUGGCGAGCGAACGGGGAAGAGCCCAAACCGCUGCCGUUUCGGCGACAGCGGGGUCAUGGGACCACGCCAUUCGAAACAAGAUGAAGUGCAAUUACCUGGAAAGGUAAGCCGCGGAGGGUGAUAGCCCCGUGCACGUCAAUUCUUGUGGAGAUAGUGGAAUCCCGAGUAGGGCGGGACACGAGAAAUCCUGCCUGAAUUCGCCAGGACCUCCUGGCAAGGCUAAAUACUCCCGAGAGACCGAUAGUGAACCAGUACCGCGAGGGAAAGGUGAAAAGUACCCCGAGCAGGGGGGUGAAAUAGACCCUGAACCCGCGCGCCUACAAGCGGUCGGAGCCACGCGAUGUGGUGACGGCGUGCCUUUUGCAUAAUGAGCCUACGAGUUAGUCGUCACCAGCGAGGUUAAGGGCUUCAGGCCCGUAAGCCGAAGUGAAAGCGAGCCUUAACAGGGCGUCAAGUUGGUGGCGCUAGACGCGAAACCUUGUGAUCUACCCACGAGCAGGUUGAAGUCGCGGUAACACGUGAUGGAGGACCGAACCGGUAAACGUUGAAAAGUUUUCGGAUGACUCGCGGGUAGGGGUGAAAGGCCAAUCAAACUGGGAAAUAGCUCGUACUCUCCGAAAUGCAUUUCGGUGCAGCCUGUGAUGUUCUGUUCCAGAGGUAGAGCUACUGGUUGGACGCGAGGGCUUCACCGCCUAUCAAAUCCGGAUAAACUCCGAAUGCUGGAACACGAAAUCAUGGAGUGAGCCCGCGGGUGCUAAGGUCCGCGGACGAGAGGGAAAGAACCCGGACCACCGGCUAAGGUCCCGGAUGGACAGUUAAGUUGAUCAAACGAGGUGGGAUCGCGGAGACAGCUAGGAUGUUGGCUUGGAAGCAGCCAUUCAUUUAAAGAGUGCGUAACAGCUCACUAGUCGAGCGAUCCCGCGUGGAUAAUACACGGGCAUCAAACUGUCAACCGAAGCCGUGGGGUCAGCGAAAAGCUGACCGGUAGGAGAGCAUUCCUGCCAGCGUUGAAGGUCACCCGCGAGAGUGACUGGAGCGGCAUGAAAAGCAAAUGUAGGCAUAAGUAACGAUAAUGGGGGCGAGAACCCCCCACGCCGCAAGACCAAGGAUUCCCCGGCAAUGUCAAUCAGCCGGGGGUCAGCCGGCCUCUAAGGCUCACCCGAAAGGGGAUGCCGACGAGAAACGGGUUAACAUUCCCGUGCUUCUCGUCACCGUGACGCGGUGACGGGGUGAUGAAUGGACCGCGCGCUGACGGAAUAGCGCGUUGAAGGCCGUACCCUUCGAGGGUGGUAGUCAAGCACGCCACCCGAGGCGAUAGCCGAUAGUACCACGAGACUCCGGUCGAGUGGAUAGCGUCCAGGCAAUUUACCCCCGAGAAAACCCGCUAAACUUCAAGUGACGAGGAACCGUACUGUAAACGGACACACGUGGUCGGGUAGAACAUACCAAGGCGCUCGAGUGAUUCAUGGUCAAGGAACUAGGCAAAAUAGUCCUGUAACUUCGGGAAAAAGGACGCUCUAGUGAUAGAGCCGCAGAGUAAUGGCCCAGGCGACUGUUUACCAAAAACACAUGGCUAUGCCAAAUCGAAAGAUGACGUAUAUGGCCUGACACCUGCCCGGUGCCGGAAGGUUAAGAGGAGAGCUCAUCGGAAACGAGAAGGUUUGAAUUGAAGCCCCGGUAAACGGCGGCCGUAACUAUAACGGUCCUAAGGUAGCGAAAUUCCUUGUCGGGU
rnacentral:rRNA from 1 species